rnacentral:rRNA from 1 species
UACGGAGGAGGCAAGCGUUAUCCGGAAUUAUUGGGCGUAAAGCGUCCGCAGGUGGCACCUCAAGUCUGCUGUCAAAGACCGGGGCUCAACCCCAGAAAGGCAGUGGAAACUGAACAGCUAGAGUAUGGUAGGGGCAGAGGGAAUUCCUGGUGUAGCGGUGAAAUGCGUAGAGAUCAGGAAGAACAUCGGUGGCGAAGGCGCUCUGCUGGACCAUAACUGACACUCAGGGACGAAAGCUAGGGGAGCGAAUGGG